GGAAGUAAAAGGCGUAACAAGGUUUCCGUAGGUGAACCUGCGGAAGGAUCAUUAUUGUAUAACCGAGGUGCGAGGGCUGUCGCUGACCCGAAAGGUCGUGCACGCCCGGGUGCCCUCACACACAUCCAUCUCACCCCUAUGUGCACCACCGCGUGGGUCCCCCUUUGGCUUGUUCGGAGGGGGGCUUACGUUUUCACACAAACUUUGUAUGCAGUGUAGAAUGUAUUUUUUGUUUUUGCGAUCACGCAAUCAAUACAACUUUCAACAACGGAUCCCUUGGCUCUC
rnacentral:misc_RNA from 1 species